CAACGGCCGCGGUACUCUGACCGUGCAAAGGUAGCAUAAUCAUUUGCCCUAUAAUUAAGGGCUAGUAUGAACGGUCUAACAAGAAUGGAACUGUCUCUUUUAAAAUCCUUAGAAUUUGGUCUUUAGGUGAAGAAACCUAAAUUAUAUUGAUAGACAAGAAGACCCUAUCGAGCUUUAAAACAAUUAGUUAAACAAAUAGAUACCACUAACUUUAACUAAAAAUUUUGGUUGGGGCGACUAAGGAACAAACAAAGCUUCCUUAAUAAAUUCUACACUAAUAAGUAAUGAUCCAAAAUAUUUGAUUAAUAAAAUUAGUUACCGUAGGGAUAACAGCAUAAUCUUCUUCAAGAGUUCUUAUCGAAAAGAAUGUUUGUGACCUCGAUGUUGGACUAGGGUAUCCAAAAGAUGCAGAAGUCUUUAAAGGUUGGUCUGUUCGACCAAUAAAAUCCUACGUGAU
rnacentral:rRNA from 1 species